rnacentral:lncRNA from 1 species
AUGUGUGUUCCGAGCCCGGAGCACACACUCCGCACUCUCAGCACUAACCGCCGGGGAGAAGGGGAAGCCCCGCCUCCUGCACCCUCUACUUAUACCCACCGCCGCACUCGCCCCGCCCCCCGCGCGUCUGACGCCAAGGCCCUACGCGAGCGUCAGCGCCGGAGGAGGAGGAGAAAAGGAGGCGAAGGGGAGGAGGAAAGAGAAAACAGUAGGAGGAAAGAGCAGAGAGGAAGAGAGAGAGGCGGCGGCGGCUGCUGCGGGUGUGGGGGUGGGGCUGGGGCGGAGGGUGGGGCUUUUGCGCACGCGCCGCGUAGGGCCCGGGGGGGGGGGGGAAGGGCGGGACGGCUCGCGCGCGGCUCCGGGAGGAGUCGGGUGGGACGGCCUCUCAUCCACACACCCCGCCCCCACCUCCGCCCCGGAGAAGCGUUAACCCGUCACCGCGGCGGUAGGCGGUGGGCGGUGCGCGGGGCUUCCGGGUUCUUCGGCGCUAAGCACCGCUCACGUGCGGCGCCGCUUUCCCGCCGCAGCCAGCUGUGUUCCGCUCGCCCCGCGGGACGCCGGGCACGGGUGGGCCGGCGGGGUCGCUCCCAGGCCCAGUUUCCGAAACGUGCGCGAAAGGAGUCAGGGCUAGCUCCCCCUUUCUGCUACCCGGACCGCACUACGAGUCCCAGCGGGCAGCGCCGCCACGCGCGUCGGCCGCCGAAGCGGUGCCUGCUGGGAGCUGGAGUCCCCAACGGCCGCGGUUCGCUGACCCCAACUGGCCGCGGGUCUUGCCUCCCGCUCGGCGAACCCCAACCGUCCUGGCACUGGACCCUGGUCGCUGUCCUGCGGUGCUGCAGAGAGAGGGGAGGGGAGGGGUCCUUGGGCUCCUUGUCCUCUGGUUUUCGAGGCCCAGACUUUCCUGGGUCUUUCCACUGGACGCUGUCGUUGGUCAAAGUGGCUUUAAUUUGGGAAAGCUGUUUUGGGGUCUUUGUCUGCUUUCCUUUUAAAAGUAUCGUGAUCACUAUUAAGAUGCUAGGUUGGACUCAUUGA